GAGAGAUGUAGAGAGAUGUAGAGUGAGGUCGAGAGAUGUAGAGUGAGGUAGAGUGAAGUCGAGAGAUGUAGAGUGAGGUAGAGUGAGGUCGAGAGAUGUAGACUG